rnacentral:rRNA from 1 species
UACGGAGGGUGCGAGCGUUGUCCGGAAUCAUUGGGCGUAAAGGGCGCGUAGGCGGUUGGAUAAGUCAGCUGUGAAAACCACGGGCUUAACUCGUGGCCUGCAGUUGAGACUGUCUGGCUUGAGUGUGGGAGAGGAGAGUGGAAUUCCUGGUGUAGCGGUGAAAUGCGUAGAUAUCAGGAGGAACACCGGUGGCGAAGGCGGCUCUCUGGACCACAACUGACGCUGAGGCGCGAAAGCUAGGGGAGCAAACAGG